UGAUCAUGUUUCUCUUUCUAUUUUUAUCAGAAGUUGUUUACAACUUUCUUGUUUUUUUCUAACUUCAUCAAGAUUUUUUUCAAGUCACGUGCUGUGGUAAAAUUACAAGCCGAUUAAGUGAUAUUUCUCAAUUUCGCAAUGUCUGCAGGCGUAAUCUUAUUCAUCACCUGUGAUUGAACAAUUUACUUGAAAUUAGUCGAUCACACAAAAUAAAAUAAGUUAGUCAGCGUUGUAAUCAGGACGUCUUCAAAGGUCUUCUGGUGCAUGUAGCAGACGACAACUGGAAAAGGUUGCAAAGUUCAAAUAUAGUGGGUCUUGAGUUCUGUAUAUUAAGUACUUGGAGAAAUAUUCAGAAUCGAACAACGUCGCUCAAUGCAAUGGCAAUGGCUUCCUGGCCGUCAAGUAACCUGUUGCAUGGGUUUUGCGUGCUUUUCGACGUUCUGCGUGCAUGUUAGAGCUAAUUUCCAAGAACAUGUGCAUUUCGAAAUGGCUGACUGGUUAUGCAACAUUUCUGUUUUUCUUUGAAGAAGGAAUACGAACAGUUAAGAGGAAAAGGUUUUGUUGCUGUUGAAAAACACGCACGUUUUGUUGCAUGGCAUGCAAUUGCAUCCCAAAGAUAUUUUUCGCAACGACUAGCCAUUCCUAAAAUUCUAAGAGCCAGGUCCCAGAAAAUGAAAUCACAUACGAUUAUUUAGACACACAUUAUCAAUAUUUUAUAUUAUAUCAUUUAGGAAUUACGAAAAUAAGUGAAUUUUCGUGUGUCAUUUAGCUUUUUUAUGAAACAUAAUAAAGAUACAGAAAGAAAUAUCUUGAAACUUGCUGCUCACCGUUAAGAUGUAAAAUUUUUACGUGAGAAGAAGUCAUCCAGCUGGCUCACGG
rnacentral:lncRNA from 1 species